rnacentral:rRNA from 1 species
GUGCCAGCCGCCGCGGUAAUACGGAGGGUGCAAGCGUUAUCCGGAUUCACUGGGUUUAAAGGGUGCGUAGGCGGGCAGGUAAGUCAGUGGUGAAAUCUCCGGGCUUAACCCGGAAACUGCCGUUGAUACUAUCUGUCUUGAAUAUCGUGGAGGUAAGCGGAAUAUGUCAUGUAGCGGUGAAAUGCUUAGAUAUGACAUAGAACACCCAUUGCGAAGGCAGCUUACUACACGAUCAUUGACGCUGAGGCACGAAAGCGUGGGGAGCAAACAGGAUUAGAUACCCCUGUAGUCC